rnacentral:sRNA from 1 species
CAAGGUUUCCGUAGGGGAACCUGCGGAAGGAUCAUUACCGAAUCGUCGACACGAGGGGUUGGUUGUCCUCUCUGGUUCCCUUGAGGAAGUAAAAGUCGUAACAAGGUUUCCGUAGGUGAACCUGCGGAAGGAUCAUUACCAAUGUGUGGGAUGUUCAACAGAACUCCUAAGCAAACACAUUCUUGUGUACUCCUUUUUUUAAGCUCUAUAUCAAUAUCUUGUCUGAGAAGGCCAAUGUGCCAUAACCUUUAAACAUGUUAAAACUUUCAACAACGGAUCUCUUGGCUCUCGCAUCGAUGAAGAACGCAGCGAAAUGCGAUAAGUAAUGUGAAUUGCAGAAUUCAGUGAAUCAUCAAAUCUUUGAACGCACAUUGCGCCCUUUGGUAUUCCUUAGGGCAUGCCUGUUCGAGCGUCACCAACAACUAUUUCACAUACAACGUGGUAUUGGCUUAUGUGUUGUAGCACUUGGCUGUGCUGAUCUCACUCAGCUGAAAUGGAUAGGCCAGAUGAAGUAUACCAUUAGCACAGACUCUUAGAGUAUUCCGUGAUACUAAUCUAGUCUGUAGUGGGUUGAAAUCUGUGUCAAAUGACCCCCCGUCAGAUC